UCAUGUCAGACAAUACAAAAAUAUUGGAUUUUUUAUUAUUGUUCAUUGAUCAAAAUAUAUAAUUUGAGAUUAAUGAUGGGAAAGUUCUUAAUUUCAUAACUGAUAUUAAAAACACUUCAAAUUCUUAAUUAACAUUUAAAAAAUAAAAGCACAGAAAAUUUUUUUAACUCCACUUAUAAACUUAAAGAAAAGCCUCCACA
rnacentral:lncRNA from 1 species